CCUGGCAGUGUGAGUUGCGAUAUCGUAGUAUUGCGCCCUCUCGUGGUCAUUGUAGUUUUUCGCUCAAGUUACACAAUUGUUCAGUCACGCCAAGUUUUAGUCCAUUUUAGUGCCCAUUUUUCCAUCUUUUUGAGACCACUCUAUACCGAUAGCCUUACACCAGAAGACCACUGGUUGAUGAUUUCAGUAUUCCAGACCCAUAGGAAGUUUGAGGAUACUUCAUCUUUUGGAGAGCACAGUUCUUUUUACCUCAUGUGGUCCACCCACGACACAGGAAUGAGAAUAAAGCAGUCAAAGUUCACAAAUCCUGUAUUAGUCAGAGGUUAACUUGUCGGAGAGAGGGCGCCCUCGGCGCUCCAUGUUCGUCAUAGUAAAAAGAACUAUUCAAGAUGAUCGAAGUACUUGACUCAGACGACGCAAACAGUGCCAGUUCUCAACGAACACGGGCAUCACACAAAACCAGCAGAAGUUCCCUGAAGUCAAACAUGAGCUCAGCAGCCAUUCUGGCUCGUGCUAAAGCCAAGUCGUUGAAAGCAAAGGUGGAAUUCACCCAGAAAGAGGCAGGUCUUCGUCGGCAAGAACAAGACGUUGCCAAUGCUCUUCUUCUAUUGAGUGCAGAAAAGGAGUAUGCAAUGGCAGAAGCAGAAGCAGAAUUUUUAGAGUCAGUCGCCUUGAAGGAAGGUUCGGCCAGUAUCCAAGAAGAUUUGCAGUUGCCAGUCGUUGACUCCGCUGUCCGCACCAGCGACUAUAUAUCCCACCACUUUAAGGAACCUGAGACAGAGUUGCCUGAAAAAGAAAAACCAGCAAUCAAGAUCGAAGAAAAGUCCCCACCAGAAGUUCAGCCUGUGAUACGAG